rnacentral:tRNA from 3 species
AGAAAGUUAGUCUAACCAAGACAGUUGAUUUCGACUCAACAGAUUAUAGCUACAACCCUAUAACUUUCUU